UACGGGGGGGGCAAGCGUUGUUCGGAAUUACUGGGCGUAAAGGGCUCGUAGGUGGCCAACUAAGUCAGACGUGAAAUCCCUCGGCUUAACCGGGGAACUGCGCAUGAUACUGGAUGGCUUGAGUUUGGGAGAGGGAUGCGGAAUUCCAGGUGUAGCGGUGAAAUGCGUAGAUAUCUGGAGGAACACCGGUGGCGAAGGCGGCAUCCUGGACCAACACUGACACUGAGGCACGAAAGCGUGGGGAGCAAACAGG
rnacentral:rRNA from 1 species